rnacentral:rRNA from 1 species
GACGAACGCUGGCGGCGUGCUUAACACAUGCAAGUCGAACGGAAAGGCCCUGCUUUUGUGGGGUUCUCGAGUGGCGAACGGGUGAGUAACACGUGAGUAACCUGCCCUUGUCUUUGGGAUAACUUCAGGAAACUGGGGCUAAUACCGGAUAGGAGCUCCUGCUGCAUGGUGGGGGUUGGAAAGUUUCGGCGGUUGGGGAUGGUCUCGCGGCUUAUCAGCUUGUUGGUGGGGUAGUGGAUUACCAAGGCUUUGACGGAUAGGCCGCCUGGGAGGGUUACCGGCCACAUUGGGACUGAGAUACGGCCCAGACUCCUACGGGCGGCAGCAGUGGGGAAUAUUGCACAAUGGGCGGAAGCCUGAUGCAGCAACGCCGCGUGCGGGAUGACGGCCUUCGGGUGGUAAACCGCUUUCGCCUGUGACGAAGCGUGAGUGACGGUAAUGGGUAAAGAAGCACCGGCUAACUACGUG